AGAGUUUGAUCAUGGCUCAGAGCGAACGCUGGCGGCAGGCUUAACACAUGCAAGUCGAGGGGCGUAGCAAUACGUCAGCGGCAGACGGGUGAGUAACGCGUGGGAACGUACCUUUUGGUUCGGAACAACACAGGGAAACUUGUGCUAAUACCGGAUAAGCCCUUACGGGGAAAGAUUUAUCGCCGAAAGAUCGGCCCGCGUCUGAUUAGCUAGUUGGUGAGGUAAUGGCUCACCAAGGCGACGAUCAGUAGCUGGUCUGAGAGGAUGAUCAGCCACAUUGGGACUGAGACACGGCCCAAACUCCUACGGGAGGCAGCAGUGGGGAAUAUUGGACAAUGGGCGCAAGCCUGAUCCAGCCAUGCCGCGUGAGUGAUGAAGGCCCUAGGGUUGUAAAGCUCUUUUGUGCGGGAAGAUAAUGACGGUACCGCAAGAAUAAGCCCCGGCUAACUUCGUGCCAGCAGCCGCGGUAAUACGAAGGGGGCUAGCGUUGCUCGGAAUCACUGGGCGUAAAGGGUGCGUAGGCGGGUCUUUAAGUCAGGGGUGAAAUCCUGGAGCUCAACUCCAGAACUGCCUUUGAUACUGAAGAUCUUGAGUUCGGGAGAGGUGAGUGGAACUGCGAGUGUAGAGGUGAAAUUCGUAGAUAUUCGCAAGAACACCAGUGGCGAAGGCGGCUCACUGGCCCGAUACUGACGCUGAGGCACGAAAGCGUGGGGAGCAAACAGGAUUAGAUACCCUAGUAGUCC
rnacentral:rRNA from 1 species